UGUCCCAACCACCCGACUCCGCGCCUCCCGCCCGAGACCGGCCGCUACCGAUGAGGGCCACGCCGACGCUCCCCCUCAGCCCGCCUUCCUCCUCUUUCCACUCCGUUCCCCUCCUUCUCUCUCCGCUCUCCGGUCAGCAGCGACCACCCAAGCUCGCCCCAAUCCAUUACCCUCUCCUUCCGCCCAGCUUGGGUCCAUCGCCGGUCGUCCAUGGGGCGAGCGCUGCGCCUCCUCAUGAAGCUCCUAUUUUUGUGCUGCCCCGCCUGCACUGCCCACCAGCGCAUUCCGAGAACUCAUGUUCGCCUUCUGCCGAGCUGCCGGAUUGAUGGCUGACCGCCGUCAUGACCGACCUCAACCUUCUGCACGCCAUGGGCAGCGGCCAUGGAGGCCGCACCUCCGGCCUCUCGCUCGCCGCCAGCCAGGACCUCGGCCAACAUCUCAUUCAUCUAUAUCAAGGACCGAUCUACGUCACCCGAGGUUGACAGCAGUUCGGCCAGGGGAAUCACGACCACAUCCUGAUAUCCGCUGCCUUGGGCACGGCCGCAAAUGCUUGCCUUCCUUGGAGCAAAGAAUUAUGAGCUCUCCCGUACAUGGCUGAAGCGGCUCCAGGUGUGCGUGUCUGUAUUUUAACUUUUGCUCAUUCUUUUGUUUCUGAAUAAGUGAAUUUCUCUUGCUGGAGCGUUUCAUUGAAAAGGAAUUUGGUUCUGAAGCUACUCUUGAAGCCUACGAUCUGAAAAACACAGGGGAAUUAAUUUGCUCUAUGUUGUGUUGUGGUUCCUGCCCAAGAGGUGGCAAUAGUUCAGACUUCAAACUUAAUAAGCCAUAUGCUUAUAUCUCAUAAAUAAAUUAAAUAUCACAGGAAAGGAGCAGCAACCUUAACUGAACAUGGAGUUGCGUUACAAGUUCCAUGUGCACUAGCUUUUAGUGCAGGUCAGUCAUCAAAAGGGGACAUCGAUAGGCACGUACGUCGCCAGACGCGUCUCUCUCCACCUGCAGGAUGAUUUCCGUGGCACGGCCCUCCUCAGCCAAAUGAAUCUCUCGCCUUGUCAAGCAAAAGAUUAGUGAUCUCGUGCAAGAUCUAAAUGUAACCAGUGAUGAUGGCUCUACAGAAACGUACAACUGUGAGCCCUCAGGUUCUUCAUUCACGAAAUGUUCAGCCAAUUCGACCAUGUCAAAUGCAGUUUUGUGUGGAAGAGAGCUGGUAUAUUUGUAAUUGAUGUGUAUGAUGGCACGUCUUCUGAAUGCAAGCUUCGUCUCGAUAGGAGAUCCUCCAGCUUUAGUGUGUUGAAGUCUGACGAAUUGGAGAAUCAGAUGGUAGUUGCUGGAGAGGCAAGGAACUCCCAUGCUUGCAGCGAUGCACUUGGUGGGCAUUCCUUGCAUUUUUCCCGUAAAAUCACACGGAUACAUGUAUUUAAUUAUAGCAAAGUCACGAUGUCUUUAUCAUGCCAGUAUGCCAAUGUGCCCAGAAAUUAGAUAACAGAGGGAAGUUAGCAAGUCCCGGCUCUGAAAGCAUACCAAAUAUUUCAAUUUUUAGGCCACUGCUCAAUUUUGAAGAGCUACUCCUUUGAACUAGAUAUGUGAGCUUUUUGUAAACUAUAGGAUAUCAUAGUCUGCUAAGUGGAAAAAGAACUCUGAUGUUGGGCAUAUCCUGUAGUAUUUAAAUCAUUAUUUUUUUACACAUGUGAUGCAAAUCUUUUUCGUUUAGAAAAAUGUGAAUCUCCAGGAUUGAUAUGAACUCAGAAUACAAAUUUUGGGACAACUAUUAACAUUGAAAGAGAAUGAAUGUGAAGACAAUAUGUGUGCUGGUGUCUUGGGAUUCAUCAGUUGUAUCAGGAAAACCAAAGUAAAACAGGUACUCAGAUUUUUUUUUAUUCUACAUUUUCCAGAUAUAGCAAAGGUUGGACCACAGAAAGUAUCGUGUGUGGCUGACACAAACUCCAAUUGUGGCACCUCUUGUCAAAAGUUCACUGUAUGAACGAGGAUCAUAUGUUUGCUUUGAUCUCAACCUUUGGAUGCAGUUAGAAGGUUUCAUCAUAACAAAAAUUGUUAGUUUUUGUAAAUUAACCUCACCAUUUUGAUGAUUGUAGGACAUCAUUGUUCUCCAAUAUGAAACUAUAGAGAAGGGACCUGACGUACAUUUGUGUAACACAGUUCAGUAAACAUGUAUGGAAACUUUAUUUCUUUUUUGAGAUUGAUUUACUUGGUGGUGCUAUUGCCCAUUUCCUAUUAACAAGACAUGUGUGAUGUUCCAAAAAAGGAGCUUAUUUGUUGUAUGGCAGCCUUGAUGGUAGUUUUAUACAUGUAGCUAAGGAAAUUGUGCUUGAAGCGCGUCCUGUUAAAAAAUGGGAUGGGGACUUGUGCUGGUUUUCAGUCAUACUUAUUGGGAUAGGCCCAUGCGAUUUUUCUCUCUCCGUUGCCACGGCAUUGGUCGGGUUGUGAUAAGGAGAAUGAGAUAGCGAUGAUGUGGUGCUUCACUGCUAGCUGAAUUUUGCCAUUGCUGGUGCUAGCUGAACUUUGUGGUAGCUAAAUUUUGCUAUCGCUGCUGCUAGCUGAAUUUUGCAUAGACGUAACGCUCAUCUAGACAUGUUUUUCCAGUAGAAGUGAGAAAUAUAUGCAGGUUUUUAUGCCAAAAGCUUUUAAUAUUUUUCCUCAUAGUCUAAGUAAACUGAUGAUGCAUUCCAUGGCUAAGGAUUUGGUUCCAACAGAAGCAACACAUAUUCAUCUUGCCUACUAUCCCAUCAGUGGAUGUCAGUCUCAUUUUUCUGAUCGUACACUUGAGCUAAGAAUUCAUUGCCCCUUUUUUGAACAGGCUGCAGUAACCAGUUUGUCACUACUUCAAUGGAUAUAAUGGAGCAUAUCGUCAUUGCGUAUGCAAAAGCAUGUUUCAAAAUUUAAAUUACCAUGGCACAUUUAAUUCUUUUGGAAUACUAAACAAUCAUGCGGCUGUACAGAUUUUAAAAUUCAUGGUAGGACCACAGGAGAAUACUACUUUGUUGGGGGGAGAUAAUUUGUUGAGUCGAUGCCUUGCAAAGUUUCGCAGAGAACAAGCUAUAUGUAGAUUCCUUCCAAUUGCAGCAAGCUUCGAGCAAGCAAAACUAUACUCUGUAAAUAAUUUCCUUGAACCAGAUUCUUUAUUUUCUUUGUAUUUUCACCUUUCCUUAUACUGGAUUUCCCUUUCCUUAUACUGGAUUUCAAUGUACUGAACACUCUCCUUAAUCAAUGGAAGCAACACCUGAUUGCCUUCAUAUAAAAAAAACACAAUCUGAACAUGUACAAGGUGAUGUAUAGCAGGAACAGAAAAAAAUAAUACUAUGCGAAGGUGAGUGCAAGUGUAUGAUUUUCCAGAAUUAUUUUCUUGCCAGAAGUUACUAUAUUCUCAAUAUACAUCAGAAAUAAUUAGGAAAUUCU